rnacentral:rRNA from 1 species
CAGUAGCCGCGGGAAUACGUAGGGUCCGAGCGUUGUCCGGAAUUAUUGGGCGUAAAGGGCUCGUAGGCGGUUUGUUGCGUCGGGAGUGAAAACCCAGGGCUUAACUCUGGGCUGGCUUUCGAUACGGGCAGACUAGAGGCAUUCAGGGGAGAACGGAAUUCCUGGUGUAGCGGUGAAAUGCGCAGAUAUCAGGAGGAACACCGGUGGCGAAGGCGGUUCUCUGGGAAUGUUCUGACGCUGAGGAGCGAAAGUGUGGGGAGCGAACAGGAUUAGAUACCCCCGUAGUCCCUGUCUCUUAUAC